GCCCAGCUAGCUCAGUCGGUAGAGCAUGAGAUUCUUAAUUCCAGGGUCCUGGGUUUGAGCCCCACAUUGGGCA
rnacentral:tRNA from 1 species